UUGAGUUUGAUCCUGGCUCAGAUUGAACGCUGGCGGCAUGCCUUACACAUGCAAGUCGAACGGCAGCACGGGGGCAACCCUGGUGGCGAGUGGCGAACGGGUGAGUAAUACAUCGGAACGUGUCCUGUAGUGGGGGAUAGCCCGGCGAAAGCCGGAUUAAUACCGCAUACGAUCUACGGAAGAAAGCGGGGGAUCGCAAGACCUCGCGCUAUAGGGGCGGCCGAUGGCAGAUUAGCUAGUUGGUGGGGUAAAGGCCUACCAAGGCGACGAUCUGUAGCUGGUCUGAGAGUGACGACCAGCCACACUGGGACUGAGACACGGCCCAGACUCCUACGGGAGGCAGCAGUGGGGAAUUUUGGACAAUGGGGGAAACCCUGAUCCAGCAAUGCCGCGUGUGUGAAGAAGGCCUUCGGGUUGUAAAGCACUUUUGUCCGGAAAGAAAACUUCUGCCCUAAUACGGUGGGAGGAUGACGGUACCGGAAGAAUA
rnacentral:rRNA from 1 species